AGGUGAUCAGUAGUGUGUGAGUUCUCACAUGGCUUGUCCUGAGAACAUGUUUUUUCUCAUUGUCCUCUUUAUAUCAGGUGUUUUGGCCUGUUUUGGCCAACGAAAUUUGAUCACCACAAUGCCAGAUAGACUGGAUGUACUGACUGGCUCCUGUAUGCAAAUCCCAUGUUCAUUUGAUAUUCCUGACCAACAUAAGGAUACAUUUAACAGCACAAUACUACCCUCUGGAGUGUGGAUUAAAGAAAACUCAAAAUUUGGUGAGCGUCCGGACAGCGUGAUAUUUAACAGUAGUAAGAUGGUCAACAGAUAUCAAGGCAAGAUAACUGGAAACAUGUCCCAGAAGAACUGCACCACUGCAUCCUUCUGUAGCUCAGUUGGUAGAGCAUGGCGCUUGAAACGCCAGAGUAGUGGGUUCAAUCCCCGGGACCACCCAUACGUAGAAUGUAUGCACACAUGACUGUAAGUCGCUUUGGAUAAAAGCGUCUGCUAAAUGGCAUAUAUUAUUAUUAUUAUUAUUAUUAUUCUUCAAUGUAACCACCGAUUACACUAAUAUAUACUUCUUCAGGAUUGAGAGUCAACCAUACAGUGCAACAGAUCCUGAUAAGUCUGUUGAUAUAGUUGUCAGUGAUUUGCCUUCCAGUCCCAUUAUUACUGUCUCAGGUGAGGUGAAGGAAGGGACCCCUGUCAGUUUGAACUGCUUAGCUGUCGCUCCCUGUCCUGAACACCCUCCUGAGCUGACAUGGACUCUCCCAACACAGUUCACAACUGAGAACCAACUGCAGGAGAAUCCAGACCAAACCAAAUCAGUUCUCUCCACAGUGACCUUCACUCCAUCAUACCUUCAUCAUGAGAAGAACAUCACUUGUACUGCAGUCUACAUAGUAGGGACAAGCACCAAGAAAGCUGAACAUAACAUGAUGCUUAACGUUGCAUGGCAUGAAGAGCCUGUUAACCCAAAGGUUUAUGAGAUUGUAGGAAAAACCUUGGGGUUGAUUUUCCUUUUCAGCCUGAUCGUAUUCUUUGCAUGGAGGAGGAGAACAUCUAGACUCCCCAGUGGGUUUGACAUGACAGACCGUUCACAGGGACUGGUGGGAAUGAACUCCCCGGUUGGGACAGUGUGCUCUAACCAGGCCACGGUCGGUAGAGGGAACCAGUAACCACCACUUAACAACCUAGAUGGGCUUUAAGCACAAUAAAAGAGGUGCAUGUUAAUUAUUUUUCCAAUGGGUAUUAAGUGUUUUAUGUACAGUAUUGUCAUUGUGUAUUAGUUUUAAAUGUAUACUUUUGUUACAUUUAUAAUUGUGUACUCUUUGAUUAUAUGCAUAUUUGUAGAAUUUGCUGGGAUGAAAGGUAUUUAACUGUUACUAUAGUGUUGAUAUGAUGAUGCAGGCUACUCUUUAUUUUGGACCAUUUAUUUUGAGCGUUGAGUUCACAGAGCAUCUGUUUAAUGGGUUCCAGUAUAGAGGAACUGCUGAGUUCAACUAGCUCACUGAAGGCAGAUUAAGACCAUAUAAAGUCAAUGAUGACUGAGGAGAGAAGAGACAGUUAGUUGGAGAGACAGUGGUCUGAUACAAGACAGGAAGUUGGUGCAGGAAGUCUACAUGAUGGCAGAAUGGUGUUAACAUCUACUAGUCACUGUUUAUCUUCAUCUUUUGUGCAUCUCCCAGAAUAACAAUAUCAUCUACUUUCAGUUUAUAUCUAUUUAGAAGUUAUCGCGUCAGCUUUUAUGUUGAGUGUUAAAUCGAAUAAAUAAUUGUGACUGAAUUUAUUAAGGUUGUUUAUUAAUUGCCCUGCAAUAAAAACCUUUACAUUCAAUUUCCAUGAAA